rnacentral:rRNA from 1 species
CCUACGGGGGGCAGCAGUGGGGAAUAUUGGACAAUGGGGGCAACCCUGAUCCAGCCAUGCCGCGUGUGUGAAGAAGGCCCUCGGGUUGUAAAGCACUUUCAGUGAGGAAGAACGCCUGGUGGUUAAUACCCAUCAGGAAAGACAUCACUCACAGAAGAAGCACCGGCUAACUCCGUGUCAGCAGCCGCGGUAAUACGGAGGGUGCGAGCGUUAAUCGGAAUUACUGGGCGUAAAGCGCGCGUAGGUGGCUUGAUAAGCCGGUUGUGAAAGCCCCGGGCUCAACCUGGGAACGGCAUCCGGAACUGUCAAGCUAGAGUGCAGGAGAGGAAGGUAGAAUUCCCGGUGUAGCGGUGAAAUGCGUAGAGAUCGGGAGGAAUACCAGUGGCGAAGGCGGCCUUCUGGACUGACACUGACACUGAGGUGCGAAAGCGUGGGUAGCAAACAGGAUUAGAUACCCGGGUAGUC